GCGCUCGUAGGCCAAUGCCGGCAGCGGCGCGGGUACGGGCUGCGGCAGGCGUUCGAACAGUUGGCGGAUGUGUUCCGUGCACGGUGGGCGCA
rnacentral:tRNA from 1 species